CUUGCUCCAACAAAAAAAUUAUCCACGUCUUUUUUCUCGUACCUUCCUUCGAAAAAUUGAAAAAUACUCAGCCUAAAUCCUUUCUACCGACAACUAGUACACCCGAGCACGGCACAAAACAUCUUAAUGCAUUAUUAUUUACAAGCCGUUAACGUGACAAUUGGUUUUUUGUCGAUUAAAUCUAAUCUGUUUAUGAAAUGGCUAAUAGAUGUUUUCAAACCCGAGGGCACAUAUGACGUCACACAAUAUGGCGCGUAGUCUAGCGAAAGAAAAUAUGCAUAUCGCAAGAUUUGAAUUUCAUCGCUUUCAAACUCGAAAACUACGCAAAAUAUUUCAUUUAAAACACAUUUAAAGUAGUUUUAGGCAUAAAAAGAGUUAAUUUUGCUGAAAAAAUGAAAAAGUUUAGAAACAUGCGUUGUGUCCUUUAAAGAUGAUAAAUAAGAUGGGUAUUCCAUUUUAUUAUCAGAUAUACAUGUACAUGCAUGUCUAUUCCUUUCAAUGUCAUGCAUAAUGCAAGUAUGGAUAAUGUCUUAAAUAGAAUAUAGACAAUGGGGAAGGGUAUAUGAAAAACAUUUUCUGUAGUUCAAUCAUGUUCAGUUUUCAUCUAACAGUUUGUUCCAGUUAAAAUUUUUCAGUUUGUUUUAUUGUAGGUAUUUGUGUACUGCCUGUCUAUCAAUUCAGUCCAGUAGUAGACUCACAAUGGCAGAUGAUCUUAUCCGGCAGCUCUAUGCCAGUGUCUCAUUGCAGAAUUGUCAAUGAAUUCAUGAUUAGACAGACAACAGUACAGUCAGAUUAUUUGUUGAUUAUUAGUAUUCUACUAACGUAGUUCCACCUUCCUGUGAUGCCAAAAGAUUUCACAAAGUCAAUGUGAUUUGUUUCAUUGCUGCAGAAUUUCAGUUCAAAAUGGGCCGAAACUUUCCUGGUUUCUUGAAUGUUUUAAUGUUUAAACAUGUGAAUUUUGAGAAAUGUAAAAAUAAAACUUGUAAAAACAUACAUGCAUUUAAAUGUAUAUUGGAAACCAGGAAGGUAUCAGAGAUUAUCCUCGACAAUUUUGGUGUCUCAGUUUGAUCUCUUCUCUGACUGAUGAGGCCCAGGGAGACAAACUGACAUACAUAGUCAUCAGAUUCAUUUACCAUGAAACUUGGUAGGGCUGUGUAGCCUUGUGAUUUUCAUACAGACUCACUUUUCAAUUAUGAUAGGGUGUAGAAAACCACAAGAUUUCUAUGCAUUACAUAACUUAUAUACAUUACAGAGUUGGUCAAUUCUGUAGAUCAAUAAAAGCUAUUUAAAUCACUUUAAAGGGAAUUUAUUUAAAACACCUUAAUAUCAAAAUGUAAUGAACUUGAUUAUUGCCAAUGAAGUUCUCAUAAAUAUUAUCUCUACUAUGCCAUAUGGAUUUUGCAAUAUUUGCAAAAUUAGUUUUAUUGUUUAAUAUCAUUAACUAUGAAUUUGUUAAAAUGAAAAUUGUACACAAAAUUAACAAGACCAAAUUUCCUUUACAGAGAUAAGGUUCCUGAAAAGACGUCAUAUGUACCAAAUUGAUGCAUCAACUCCUGCAAGGAAAUUUGUUGGGUUUUGUGAAAUAAAAGCGUAAUAUUUUCUCAAGAUUAAUGGAUGUUUUGAGAAGAUUAACACAUGUAUUCAUUUUACAGAUGUAGUAAACAGUUACUAUUGCAUACCAGUCAGCAUGGACAGAGUUAAAGGUUGCACAUGUUCAGUGAAAAGUACAUCAAGGAGAAUACAUUCGGCAGAAAUUUCUUUUUUUUUAAUAAAUAUCAUAUAAAACAUUCAGAACAACUGGAUCCUGCAUGUACAUGUGUAUUACACUUGUAAACUGUCUUGGUUACUGGGAGUACAAAACCAAUAGUCUGGCAAAUGAUUUAUAACCAGACUGUUAACAGGCUCUGUCCCUUGGUACACCCUGUAAUCAAGUCAACAAAUCAUGCUUUCUUCAACUUUUAAAAAUUUUUUUUUUAAUUAUAUAGCACAAUUAUUUUCAUUUAUAUAAUUAUUUAAACCUCCCUGCUUUAGACAUAAAACAUUUAGAACAACUGGAUCCUGCAUGUACAUGUGUAUUAUACUUGCAUACUGUAUUUUCUAAACUCUUAUACUGAUAUUGAUUACAACUUCACAUGUAUUCACACAUUAUCAUUAUCCACUGUCUCUGAAACUGGCACUGUCCUUAGAUGUGUGAAGCAGUUUGGUUAUUCUAUUGUAUAUUUCAUUAUGUUAGUUUAAAUUCAGUCUGAAAUCAGUAUUUCAUAUAUAAUCAUAGAUGUGUGCAAAGUAGUAGUAGACCUGAAUGAUUGUUAUUUAUUUAUAUUGUUAUAAUUAAUUACUAGUUAAACUGUAUGUGCCCUUGAUUGGUGAAUAAACUCAUUAUUAUUAUUAUAAAGUAAA